rnacentral:rRNA from 1 species
CGGAGGGUGCAAGCGUUAUCCGGAAUCAUUGGGUUUAAAGGGUCCGCAGGCGGAUUUAUAAGUCAGUGGUGAAAGCCUACAGCUUAACUGUAGAACUGCCAUUGAUACUGUAAGUCUUGAAUUUGGUCGAAGUGGGCGGAAUAUGACAUGUAGCGGUGAAAUGCAUAGAUAUGUCAUAGAACACCGAUAGCGAAGGCAGCUCACUAGGCCAACAUUGACGCUCAUGGACGAAAGCGUGGGGAGCAAACAGGAUUAGAUACCCUGGUAGUCCACGCCGUAAACUAUCAAUACUCGUUUUCAGCGAUAUACUGUUGGAGACUAAGCGAAAGUGAUAAGUAUUGCACCUGGGGAGUACGAUCGCAAGGUUG